GACGAACUCUGGCGGCGUGCUUAACACAUGCAAGUCGAACGGAAAGGCCCUGCUUUUGUGGGGUGCUCGAGUGGCGAACGGGUGAGUAACACGUGAGUAACCUGCCCUUGACUUUGGGAUAACUUCAGGAAACUGGGGCUAAUACCGGAUAGGAGCUCCUGCUGCAUGGUGGGGGUUGGAAAGUUUCGGCGGUUGGGGAUGGACUCGCGGCUUAUCAGCUUGUUGGUGGGGUAGUGGCUUACCAAGGCUUUGACGGGUAGCCGGCCUGAGAGGGUGACCGGCCACAUUGGGACUGAGAUACGGCCCAGACUCCUACGGGAGGCAGCAGUGGGGAAUAUUGCAUAAUGGGCGGAAGCCUGAUGCAGCGACGCCGCGUGCGGGAUGACGGCCUUCGGGUUGUAAACCGCUUUCGCCUGUGACGAAGCGUGAGUGACGGUAAUGGGUAAAGAAGCACCGGCUAACUACGUGCCAGCAGCCGCGGUGAUACGUAGGGUGCGAGCGUUGUCCGGAUUUAUUGGGCGUAAAGGGCUCGUAGGUGGUUGAUCGCGUCGGAAGUGUAAUCUUGGGGCUUAACCCUGAGCGUGCUUUCGAUACGGGUUGACUUGAGGAAGGUAGGGGAGAAUGGAAUUCCUGGUGGAGCGGUGGAAUGCGCAGAUAUCAGGAGGAACACCAGUGGCGAAGGCGGUUCUCUGGGCCUUUCCUGACGCUGAGGAGCGAAAGCGUGGGGAGCGAACAGGCUUAGAUACCCUGGUAGUCCACGCUGUAAACGGUGGGUACUAGGUGUGGGGUCCAUUCCACGGGUUCCGUGCCGUAGCUAACGCUUUAAGUACCCCGCCUGGGGAGUACGGCCGCAAGGCUAAAACUCAAAGGAAUUGACGGGGCCCCGCACAAGCGGCGGAGCAUGCGGAUUAAUUCGAUGCAACGCGUAGAACCUUACCUGGGUUUGACAUGGAUCGGGAGUGCUCAGAGAUGGGUGUGCCUCUUUUGGGGUCGGUUCACAGGUGGUGCAUGCCUGUCGUCAGCUCGUGUCGUGAGAUGUUGGGUUAAGUCCCGCAACGAGCGCAACCCUUGUUCACUGUUGCCAGCACGUUAUGGUGGGGACUCAGUGGAGACCGCCGGGGUCAACUCGGAGGAAGGUGGGGAUGACGUCAAGUCCUCAUGCCCCUUAUGUCCAGGGCUUCACGCAUGCUACAAUGGCUGGUACAGAGAGUGGCGAGCCUGUGAGGGUGAGCGAAUCUCGGAAAGCCGGUCUCAGUUCGGAUUGGGGUCUGCAACUCGACCUCAUGAAGUCGGAGUCGCUAGUAAUCGCAGAUCAGCAACGCUGCGGUGAAUACGUUCCCGGGGCU
rnacentral:rRNA from 1 species